AUUGAACGCUGGCGGCAUGCCUUACACAUGCAAAUCGAACGGUAACGGGCCUUCGGGUGCCGACGAGUGGCGAACGGGUGAGUAAUACAUCGGAACGUGCCCGAUCGUGGGGGAUAACGAGGCGAAAGCUUUGCUAAUACCGCAUACGAUCUACGGAUGAAAGCAGGGGACCGCAAGGCCUUGCGCGGACGGAGCGGCCGAUGGCAGAUUAGGUAGUUGGUGGGAUAAAAGCUUACCAAGCCGACGAUCUGUAGCUGGUCUGAGAGGAUGAUCAGCCACACUGGGACUGAGACACGGCCCAGACUCCUACGGGAGGCAGCAGUGGGGAAUUUUGGACAAUGGGCGCAAGCCUGAUCCAGCCAUGCCGCGUGCAGGAUGAAGGCCUUCGGGUUGUAAACUGAUUUUGUACGGAACGAAAAGCCUCCUUUUAAUACAGGAGGGUCAUGACGGUACCGUAAGAAUAAGCACCGGCUAACUACGUG
rnacentral:rRNA from 1 species